rnacentral:rRNA from 1 species
UGGGGAAUUUUGGACAAUGGGCGAAAGCCUGAUCCAGCAAUGCCGCGUGUGUGAAGAAGGCCUUCGGGUUGUAAAGCACUUUUGUCCGGAAAGAAAUGGCUCUGGUUAAUACCUGGGGUCGAUGACGGUACCGGAAGAAUAAGGACCGGCUAACUACGUGCCAGCAGCCGCGGUAAUACGUAGGGUCCAAGCGUUAAUCGGAAUUACUGGGCGUAAAGCGUGCGCAGGCGGUUGUGCAAGACCGAUGUGAAAUCCCCGAGCUUAACUUGGGAAUUGCAUUGGUGACUGCACGGCUAGAGUGUGUCAGAGGGGGGUAGAAUUCCACGUGUAGCAGUGAAAUGCGUAGAGAUGUGGAGGAAUACCGAUGGCGAAGGCAGCCCCCUGGGAUAACACUGACGCUCAUGCACGAAAGCGUGGGGAGCAAACAGGGUUAGAUACCCUGGUAGUCCACGCCCUAAACGAUGUCAACUAGUUGUUGGGGGAUUCAUUUCCUUAGUAACGUAGCUAACGCGUGAAGUUGACCGCCUGGGGAGUACGGUCGCAAGAUUAAAACUCAAAUGAAUUGACGGGGUCAUAGCUGUUUCCU